UGCCACGAUGAUGACAUUUAUUUGCUACUCUUGACUGGGAGGAUGAUGAGAAUCUUCACCACCAUUUUACUAACUGAGGCA
ensembl:snoRNA SNORD24 Small nucleolar RNA SNORD24